rnacentral:rRNA from 1 species
UACGUAGGGUGCGAGCGUUGUCCGGAAUUAUUGGGCGUAAAGAGCUCGUAGGCGGUCUGUCACGUCGAACGUGAAAUCCCCGGGCUCAACCCGGGAACUGCGUCCGAUACUGGAAGGCUUGAAUCCGGGAGAGGGAUGCGGAAUUCCAGGUGUAGCGGUGAAAUGCGUAGAUAUCUGGAGGAACACCGGUGGCGAAGGCGGCAUCCUGAACCGGCAUUGACGCUGAGGCGCGAAAGCCAGGGGAGCAAACGGG